rnacentral:rRNA from 1 species
GACAGAGGGUGCAAACGUUGCUCGGAAUCACUGGGCGUAAAGGGCGUGUAGGCGGGAAUGUAAGUCGGGCGUGAAAUCCCUAGGCUCAACCUAGGAACUGCACUCGAAACUGCGUUUCUUGAGUAUCGGAGAGGAAAGCGGAGUACCUGGUGUAGAGGUGAAAUUCGUAGAUAUCAGGUGGAACACCAGUGGCGAAGGCGGCUUUCUGGACGAUAACUGACGCUGAGACGCGAAAGCGUGGGGAGCAAACAGG